UACGAAGGGGGCAAGCGUUGUUCGGAAUUACUGGGCGUAAAGGGCGCGCAGGCGGCCAUUCAAGUCAGAUGUGAAAGCCCCGGGCUUAACCUGGGAAUUGCAUUUGGGACUGGACGGCUAGAGUUCGGGAGAGGUGGGUGGAAUUCCCAGUGUAGAGGUGAAAUUCGUAGAUAUUGGGAAGAACACCGGUGGCGAAGGCGGCUCACUGGACCGAUACUGACGCUGAGGCGCGAAAGCUAGGGGAGCAAACAGG
rnacentral:rRNA from 1 species